GAUGAAGAACGUAGCGAAAUGCGAUACGUAAUGUGAAUUGCAGAAUUCAGUGAAUCAUCGAAUCUUUGAACGCACAUUGCACUCCUUGGUAUUCCGAGGAGUAUGCCUGUUUCAGUAUCAUGAGCACUCUCACAUCUAACCUUUGGGUUAAAAUGUGGAAUUGGGAUGCGCCGGUUAUUAUAACGGCCUUCCUAAAAUUCAGUUCUUGGCUGCUUCCUACUACAGCAGUUUGGCCUAAUAGUUUUGAGUCUUCGAUUCAAAUCUUUGGCUAACAUUUGCUUCAGGAUGUCAGUCUUGAUAUACAGAAAUCUCAUUCAAACUUUGAUCUGAAAUCAGGUAGGGCUACCCGCUGAACUUAAGCAUAUCAAUAAGCGGAGGA
rnacentral:misc_RNA from 1 species